AGCCUUAAAUUUUUUUUUUAAAUAAAAUAAAAAUUUUAAAAAUUAAUUUAAAAGUACUGGGCUGUAUUUACAUUACUGUAAAUAUCUUAAUAUGUAGUUGAAUUUAUCAGUUGAUAUAAAGUAAAAUCAGAAACAUAUCAUCUAAUUUUUUAUGUGGUUGUUUUAUUUAAAAGCACUGAGUUACUUCAGGUUACUUCAUGUUCUGUGAAAGAGGAAACAAAUAAGGAAGUUUAUGUCUGUAAAUUACAAAACCAGGAAAGGAAAAUUUCAAUGCUGUUUUUCUAUAAAGCUUGUGUUAUCCUCUUGCAUUACUACUAGCAUGCAAGAUAAGUCAGAUGUCUGAAAAAGGUCUGCUGUACUACUUAUGCUCACCCAGUUGUGAGUGGGCUAAAACCACAUAAUAUUUAGGUUGCCAUCUCAAAACAUCAUGGGCAACAGAAAACCUUGAACCCUAUAUACUUUCAUUCAAAUCCCAGUUCUACCACUUACUAGCAACCAUCACUCUGGGAAGACACUGACCGUUCUUGAGCUUUCCAUUCCUUAUCUGACAGAAUCAUAAGAGUAUGGUAUGU
rnacentral:lncRNA from 10 species